rnacentral:rRNA from 1 species
ACGUAGGGUGCGAGCGUUAAUCGGAAUUACUGGGCGUAAAGCGUGCGCAGGCGGUUCGUUGUGUCGGUGGUGAAAGCCCAGGGCUCAACCCUGGAAUUGCCUUCGAUACUGAAGAUCUCGAGACCGGAAGAGGUAAGUGGAACUGCGAGUGUAGAGGUGAAAUUCGUAGAUAUUCGCAAGAACACCAGUGGCGAAGGCGGCUUACUGGUCCGGUUCUGACGCUGAGGCGCGAAAGCGUGGGGAGCAAACAGGA